CCUACGGGCGGCAGCAGUGGGGAAUAUUGGACAAUGGGCGAAAGCCUGAUCCAGCCAUGCCGCGUGUGUGAAGAAGGCCUUCGGGUUGUAAAGCACUUUCAGUGGGGAAGAAAGCCUUGGGGCUAAUACCCUCGAGGAAGGACAUCACCCACAGAAGAAGCACCGGCUAACUCCGUGCCAGCAGCCGCGGUAAUACGGAGGGUGCGAGCGUUAAUCGGAAUUACUGGGCGUAAAGCGCGCGUAGGCGGUCUGAUAAGCCGGUUGUGAAAGCCCCGGGCUCAACCUGGGAACGGCAUCCGGAACUGUCAGGCUAGAGUGCAGGAGAGGAAGGUAGAAUUCCCGGUGUAGCGGUGAAAUGCGUAGAGAGCGGGAGGAAUACCAGUGGCGAAGGCGGCCUUCUGGACUGACACUGACGCUGAGGUGCGAAAGCGUGGGUAGCAAACAGGAUUAGAUACCCCGGUAGUC
rnacentral:rRNA from 1 species